GUGGGGAAUAUUGGACAAUGGGGGAAACCCUGAUCCAGCGACGCCGCGUGAGUGAAGAAGUAUUUCGGUAUGUAAAGCUCUAUCAGCAGGGAAGAAAGAAAUGACGGUACCUGACCAAGAAGCCCCGGCUAACUACGUGCCAGCAGCCGCGGUAAUACGUAGGGGGCAAGCGUUAUCCGGAUUUACUGGGUGUAAAGGGAGCGUAGACGGCAAUGCAAGUCAGAUGUGAAAGCCCGGGGCUCAACCGCGGGACUGCAUUUGAAACUGUGAUGCUGGAGUGCAGGAGAGGUAAGUGGAAUUCCUAGUGUAGCGGUGAAAUGCGUAGAUAUUAGGAGGAACACCAGUGGCGAAGGCGGCUUACUGGACUGUAACUGACGUUGAGGCUCGAAAGCGUGGGGAGCAAACAGG
rnacentral:rRNA from 1 species